rnacentral:rRNA from 1 species
AGAGUUUGAUCCUGGCUCAGAACGAACGCUGGCGGCGUGCUUAACACAUGCAAGUCGAACGCGAAAGGGACUUCGGUCCUGAGUAAAGUGGCGCACGGGUGAGUAACGCGUGGAUAAUCUACCCAAUGAUCCGGGAUAACAUUUCGAAAGGGGUGCUAAUACCGGAUAAGACCACGGAGUCUCUGGAUUCUGCGGUAAAAGGUGGGGACCUUCGGGCCUACCGUCAUCGGAUGAGUCCGCGUACCAUUAGCUAGUUGGCAGGGUAAUGGCCUACCAAGGCAACGAUGGUUAGCUGGUCUGAGAGGAUGAUCAGUCACACUGGAACUGAGACACGGUCCAGACUCCUACGGGAGGCAGCAGUGGGGAAUAUUGGACAAUGGGCGAAAGCCUGAUCCAGCCAUGCCGCGUGUGUGAAGAAGGUCUUCGGAUUGUAAAGCACUUUAAGUUGGGAGGAAGGGUUGUAGAUUAAUACUCUGCAAUUUUGACGUUACCGACAGAAUAAGCACCGGCUAACUCUGUGCCAGCAGCCGCGGUAAUACAGAGGGUGCAAGCGUUAAUCGGAAUUACUGGGCGUAAAGCGCGCGUAGGUGGUUUGUUAAGUUGGAUGUGAAAUCCCCGGGCUCAACCUGGGAACUGCAUCCAAAACUGGCAAGCUAGAGUAUGGUAGAGGGUGGUGGAAUUUCCUGUGUAGCGGUGAAAUGCGUAGAUAUAGGAAGGAACACCAGUGGCGAAGGCGACCACCUGGGCUAAUACUGACACUGAGGUGCGAAAGCGUGGGGAGCAAACAGGAUUAGAUACCCUGGUAGUCC